rnacentral:rRNA from 1 species
AUACGGAGGGGGUUAGCGUUGUUCGGAAUUACUGGGCGUAAAGCGCACGUAGGCGGACUGGAAAGUUGGGGGUGAAAUCCCGGGGCUCAACCCCGGAACUGCCUCCAAAACUUCCAAUCUAGAGAUCGAGAGAGGUGAGUGGAAUUCCAAGUGUAGAGAUGAAAUUCGUAGAUAUUUGGAGGAACACCAGUGGCGAAGGCGGCUCACUGGCUCGAUACUGACGCUGAGGUGCGAAAGCGUGGGGAGCAAACAGGAUUAGAAACCCUAGUAGUCC